rnacentral:rRNA from 1 species
GAUGAACGCUGGCCCCGUUUUUGACACAUGCAAGUCGAACGAAGCGCUUAAACGGAUUCUCUUCGGAUUGAAGUUUUUGUGACUGAGUGGCGGACGGGUGAGUAACGCGUGGGUAACCUGCCUCAUACAGGGGGAUAACAGUUAGAAAUGACUGCUAAUACCGCAUAAGCGCACAGUGCUGCAUGGCACAGUGUGAAAAACUCCGGUGGUAUGAGAUGGACCCGCGUCUGAUUAGCUAGUUGGUGGGGUAACGGCCUACCAAGGCGACGAUCAGUAGCCGGCCUGAGAGGGUGAACGGCCACAUUGGGACUGAGACACGGCCCAAACUCCUACGGGAGGCAGCAGUGGGGAAUAUUGCACAAUGGGGGAAACCCUGAUGCAGCGACGCCGCGUGAGCGAAGAAGUAUUUCGGUAUGUAAAGCUCUAUCAGCAGGGAAGAAAAUGACGGUACCUGACUAAGAAGCACCGGCUAAAUACGUGCCAGCAGCCGCGGUAAUACGUAUGGUGCAAGCGUUAUCCGGAUUUACUGGGUGUAAAGGGAGCGUAGACGGUUGUGUAAGUCUGAUGUGAAAGCCCGGGGCUCAACCCCGGGACUGCAUUGGAAACUAUGUAACUAGAGUGUCGGAGAGGUAAGCGGAAUUCCUAGUGUAGCGGUGAAAUGCGUAGAUAUUAGGAGGAACACCAGUGGCGAAGGCGGCUUACUGGACGAUCACUGACGUUGAGGCUCGAAAGCGUGGGGAGCAAACAGG